AAUUCCUGUGGUGCAGUGGUGGUGCAACUGCCUGCGACGCAGAUAGUUCUGAGUUCGAUUCUCGGUGGUUC